rnacentral:lncRNA from 1 species
UUUAUAAAAAAUUAUAAUUUUAUCAAUAGCAAUUCUUUGCAUAAAAACAUGAUCAUUUAAAAUAAAUAAGGAGCAUAAAAUCCACUUACUUCGUUCAUCUUAGAUCUUCAGACUUCGUUAGAAGAAUCAGCUAAUCCUAUUUAAAAUAUCAAAUCAUCGUCAAUUUCUAUUUCAUGAAUAUAAUAAGAUUAAAUCAUAAGAAAAGAGGACCGUUGUCCGGAUGUGUCGGACCAUUCAGAUAUCAGGGCAAUUCAGGGUCUCUGAUCUGAGGGUCAGAUUUAAGUGAUUUGAUCAAGAAAUCGUGAAGCACAGAUCGAAUUAAGGUCAAGAUCAAUUAAUAGGAUUCUUUAAUAAUAAAUUUGAAAGAUCUUUGAUACGAUCAGAUGAGGUUGACAUACAGCACGGAUAUCAAAGCAAUUUUGGAUCAUCUUGUUAGAGUCAAUAUGAACCCCUAAAAGAUGAAGGCAUGACUCGAUACAGGAUUCAUAGACCUUCUUAGAGAGAGAAAGUCAAUCAUGAGAGAGAAAGAGAGAGAGAAAGUGAGAGAGAAUCUUCGUAUCCUUCAAAAGUGACAAUCAUGAUUGAGAUCAUCAGAGGUUAUAUCAAGAUGACUUAAUAUGGAUUAACCAUGAUCGAUGUUAUUAAUUUCGAAGAAGGAUCGGAUCGGGAUCUAAUCUACUGCAUGAAUUUCGGAGCAGUCUCAGAUCAUCAUAUUUUCAUCUCAAGUUUAUCCUAGGAUCUGUGAUGCAAUCAGAGAGAGAGAAUGACCCUAGAGAGACAAAAUCCAUAAAAAGAGAUAAAAGGAUCUAGAGAGAGAAAAUAGAAAGAAAAUCUAGAGAGAGAAAAUGAAGAGAGAAUGUAGAGAGAGAAAGUCCAAUUCUAGAGAGAGAAAGACUUAAGAGAGAGAUGAGAGAAACUUUCUCUCACAUGUAUUUAUUAUUAUUAUUAUUAUAUAUAUAUAUUUUUUUAUUUUUUAUUUUUCUUUUCUUCUUAGAGAGAGAAAAUAGAGAGAGAAAGAGAGAGAAGAGAGAGAAAGAGGGAGAAAGAGGGGAGAGA